rnacentral:rRNA from 1 species
GACGAACGCUGGCGGCGUGCUUAACACAUGCAAGUAGGACGCAGUUGCGAACGGGUGAGUAACGCGUAGGUAACUGCCUAUUAGAGGGGGAUAACUAUUGGAAACGAUAGCUAAUACCGCAUACUAGUAGAUGGACCUGCGUUGUAUUAGCUAGUAGGUAGGGUAAUGGCCUACCUAGGCGACGAUACAUAGCCGACCGUAGAGGGUGAUCGGCCACACUGGGACUGAGACACGGCCCAGACUCCUACGGGAGGCAGCAGUGAGGAAGCUUCGGCAAUGUGGGGAACCCUUACCGAGCAACGCAGCGUGAGUGAAGAAGUGUUUCGGAUCGUAAAGCUCUGUUGUUAAGGAAGCGGUACUUAACCAGAAAGGGACGGCUAACUACGUGCCAGCAGCCGCGGUAAUAC